GCUUGAGUUGCUCACUGGGAAGAGGCCUGUAGAGGUGUUCAAGCCAAAGAUGUCUAGAGAACUGGUUGGCUGGGUCCAGCAAAUGAGGAGAGAGGGUAAACAAGACCAAGUCUUCGAUCCUUUCCUGAAAGGAAAGGGCUUCGAUGAUGAGAUGCUGCAAGUGCUAGAUGUGGCCUGCAUGUGUGUGAACCAAAACCCAGUCAAGAGGCCAACCAUCCAGGAAGUUGUUGAUUGGCUAAAGAAUGUGGGCACAGACAGAAACCAAAAUAAGAUUUAGAGAAUAUACCCUUCAGUACAUAUUAUAUACACUCG
rnacentral:misc_RNA from 1 species